CUAGGUGGCAGUUUAUGCGGGGCACAGAUCCCAUAAAGAGUAGCUGGGUAUAUCCUAAUUCCGAAAAAUUUGGGGGAAAAAAUUAUAUAUUUUUUCUUUUGAGUUUUUAUUUAAUAUAUAAAUUUUAUAUAAAUUUAAUAUUUCGCCAAUCGCCUAUGGCGGUUGACCGAUUUUUAAGAUGAAUUUAUAUGUAAGUAGAUAAGAUAUAUUACUUAUCUCUGUAUAUAUUUAAUCACUAUCUUUUUAUUUAAAGUAAAAUUUAAUUUUAAAGCAAGUAAGAUUUUAGCUAUAUCGAGGAUAGAUGUAAUAAAUAAAAUUCACAUUUUCUAAUCUUCUGCGGACAUCGUUCCAA
rnacentral:rRNA from 1 species